rnacentral:rRNA from 1 species
GACGAACGCUGGCGGCGUGCCUAAUACAUGCAAGUAGAACGCACAGUUUAUACCGUAGCUUGCUACACCAUAGACUGUGAGUUGCGAACGGGUGAGUAACGCGUAGGUAACCUGCCUGGUAGCGGGGGAUAACUAUUGGAAACGAUAGCUAAUACCGCAUAAUAUUAAUUAUUGCAUGAUAAUUAAUUGAAAGGUGCAAUUGCACCACUACCAGAUGGACCUGCGUUGUAUUAGCUAGUAGGUGAGGUAACGGCUCACCUAGGCGACGAUACAUAGCCGACCUGAGAGGGUGAUCGGCCACACUGGGACUGAGACACGGCCCAGACUCCUACGGGAGGCAGCAGUAGGGAAUCUUCGGCAAUGGACGAAAGUCUGACCGAGCAACGCCGCGUGAGUGAAGAAGGUUGUCGGAUCGUAAAGCUCUGUUGUAAGAGAAGAACGGGUGUGAGAGUGGGAAGUUCACACUGUGACGGUAUCUGACCAGAAAGGGACGGCUAACUACGUG